UACGUAGGGGGCAAGCGUUGUCCGGAUUUAUUGGGCGUAAAGAGCGUGUAGGCGGCUUGGCAGGUCCGCUGUGAAAACUCGAGGCUCAACCUCGAGCUGUCGGUGGAAACUGCCUGGCUAGAGUCCGGAAGAGGAGUGUGGAAUUCCUGGUGUAGCGGUGAAAUGCGCAGAUAUCAGGAAGAACACCUAUGGCGAAGGCAGCACUCUGGGACGGUACUGACGCUGAGACGCGAAAGCGUGGGGAGCGAACAGG
rnacentral:rRNA from 1 species